rnacentral:rRNA from 1 species
CACGGGGGGAGCAAGCGUUGUUCGGAAUCACUGGGCGUAAAGGGCGUGUAGGCGGUCAAGUAAGUGGAAUGUGAAAUGCCCCGGCUCACCCGGGGACCUGCAUCCCAAACUGCUUGGCUUGAGUAUGGGAGAGGAUGAGGGAAUUCCUGGUGUAGCGGUGAAAUGCGUAGAUAUCAGGAGGAACACCGGUGGCGAAAGCGCUCAUCUGGCCCAAUACUGACGCUGAGGCGCGAAAGCUAGGGGAGCGAACGGG